UACGUAGGGUGCAAGCGUUAAUCGGUAUUACUGGGCGUAAAGCGUGCGCAGGCGGUUUUGUAAGUCUGUCGUGAAAGCCCCGGGCUCAACCUGGGAAUUGCGAUGGAGACUGCAAGGCUUGAAUCUGGCAGAGGGGGGUAGAAUUCCACGUGUAGCAGUGAAAUGCGUAGAGAUGUGGAGGAACACCGAUGGCGAAGGCAGCCCCCUGGGUCAAGAUUGACGCUCAUGCACGAAAGCGUGGGGAGCAAACAGG
rnacentral:rRNA from 1 species